GAAGCCGGGAAUGAAGUUCUCCCAUGGGAAACCAAAACCGCUUGCAAAGCUGAUGACUUCUGUGUU
rnacentral:ncRNA from 1 species